GUUUUAGUUGUACAUUAUGCACAGAGACAUUCCAUUACAUUCAGAGUGUGUAAAAGUACCCUCGAACCGGAUCGAUCGAAAUCAAUCUUUUGCCCCCAAAAAGGGCGAUUCAGAGAGUCAAAGAUGCACAGGUGUGUGGAUUUGCGACCGAACGUGCACAUGUGUUGCCACCAGCACAGAUACGGCCGACUUGAAGUUUCAUUAAUGAUCCUUCCGCAGGUUCACCUACGGAAA
rnacentral:misc_RNA from 1 species